rnacentral:rRNA from 1 species
CGUACGUAGAGUGUAAAGGCAAAAGAGAGCUUGAUUGCAAGACAUACAGGUCGAGCAAGGAUGAAAAUCGGACUUAGUGAUCCGGUGGUUCUGCGUGGAAGGGCCAUCGCUCAACGGAUAAAAGCUACCCUGGGGAUAACAGGCUUAUCUCCCCCAAGAGUCCACAUCGACGGGGAGGUUUGGCACCUCGAUGUCGGCGCAUCACAUCCUGGGGCUGUAGUAGGUCCCAAGGGUUGGGCUGUUCGCCCAUUAAAGUGGUACGCGAGCUGGGUUCAGAACGUCGUGAGACAGUUCGGUCCCUAUCCGUCGCAGGCGUAGGAAAUUUGAGAAGACCUGUCCUUAGUACGAGAGGACCGGGAUGGACGUACCUCUGUUGUACCAGUUGU